UCCGGUUUGUCACCGGCAGUAUCCCAUGAGUCCCCGACAUAACUCGCUGGCAACAUAGGACAGGGGUUGCGCUCUUUGCGGGACUUAACCCAACAUCUCACGACACGAGCUGACGACAGCCGUGCAGCACCUAGUUUCGCGCCCCGAAGGGAAGACUCCUUUCAGAGUCGGUCGCUAACUUUCAAGCCCUGGUAAGGUUCCUCGCGUAUCAUCGAAUUAAACCACAUGCUCCUCCGCUUGUGCGGGCCCCCGUCAAUUCCUUUGAGUUUCACCGUUGCCGGCGUACUCCCCAGGUGGAUUACUUAUCGCUUUUGCUAAGCCACUGAAGGUUGCCCUCCAGCAGCGAGUAAUCAUCGUUUACAGUGCGGACUAC
rnacentral:misc_RNA from 1 species